AACAACAAAAGAUCAAUGCGGGUGUUUAUCGAAAGGAAGAACUACCAUUCCACAUGGAUGACAAGAUAUGGUUACUUCGUCGCAAUAUCAAGACCACUUAUCUUUAUGACAAGUUGGACUAUUGAAGGCUUAGAUCAUUUUCUAUUCUGUACAAAUCAAUCCAGUUGCAUAUUGUUCACGUCUACUAAAGUCAAUGAAAAUCCAUCUAGUAUUCCACGUGUCUCUUUUUAAAUCAUACAAGAUAGUGGACAUAUCAAGAAAAAGACAAACUCAACCUCUUCCUAUAGAAGUGGACAAUAAUGUAAAGUUGGAAGUGAAAGAAGUCCUAGAUUCAAGG
rnacentral:lncRNA from 1 species